rnacentral:rRNA from 1 species
CGCGUAGGCGGUCUGGACAGUUGGGCGUGAAAUUCCUGGGCUUAACCCGGGGGCUGCGCUCGAUACACCCAGGCUGGAGUGAGGAAGAGGGUCGUGGAAUUCCCAGUGUAGAGGUGAAAUUCGUAGAUAUUGGGAAGAACACCGGUGGCGAAGGCGGCGACCUGGUCCUUUACUGACGCUGAGGCGCGAAAGCGUGGGGAGCAAACAGGAUUAGAUACCCUGGUAGUCCACGCUGUAAACGAUGUGUGCUGGAUGUUGGGCGACCUAGUCGCUCAGUGUCGUAGCUAACGCGGUAAGCACACCGCCUGGGGAGUACGGCCGCAAGGUUGAA